CCACCGCCACGAGGUUGCCAACAGACCGAGGAAACCGCCACCAACAGUCCAGCGAUGAAAGGACUGUUGGUGUCCCAAUCCAACCAAAACACAAAGUCCCAGACCUUACCAUUAUCCUGGGAAGAUAAGGUGCAAAUCUCAAGCAAGAAAGCCUAUAAAAGGCAGAGGCAGAACCGAAGACAGAGGGGGGGGGUAAAAAAAAAACAGAGAGAAAAGAAGAGCAGCUCGAGAGGAACAGGGGACUUUAACUUCCGCUCACCUAGUUAAUCCCAUCAUCCAAACAAAAACACAGAAACGGAGAAGAAGGGACCGAGAGAAAGAAAACAAAAGGAGAGUCUGGGGAAGCAUCGUCCAGCCGGUGUGUCAUUGCCUGCGGCUCCAUCUCCAGCACAGGUAAGUCUUCUUCCUUCUCCCGCUCAAUAUGAAUUCACCUAGGACUGUUCCCUUUGAAUUUUAAUUAACCCCCUCCCCCCGUGCACGCACUCGUCACGAGUCCUUAUGUUCAGCCAGGUUACUGGUCUGAAUCAGUAACCGGACCGGGCUGGCUGUAUCCGACCCAGCCCGUACAGCUGGCCAGGAUCCAGCCUAGUAAAAAAAAGGAAGAAAGAAUAGAUCGUGUUUGAGCCUCAGCCCAGCCGACCCAAAUUACUUUUGUUAAGGGUGUGUUGGGCAAAACACACCCUUAUACCUUUUACAUGUAUUUUGUUUUUGUUUUGAUAUCUGAUCAAACGAACCCCUUUUGAUACUAGAAAAUUCUAGAAAUAUUUGAGGAUCUUUGAGAGCUCGCGUUUUGUUUUAUUUUUUUCUUUGCGUAUUGUUUUCUUCCUGCAAUAUGCUUAAUCUAUGGACC
rnacentral:lncRNA from 1 species